AGAGUUUGAUCCUGGCUCAGGACGAACGCUGGCGGCGUGCUUAACACAUGCAAGUCGAACGGUAAGGCCCUUCGGGGUACACGAGUGGCGAACGGGUGAGUAACACGUGGGUGAUCUGCCCUGCACUUUGGGAUAAGCCUGGGAAACUGGGUCUAAUACCGAAUAUGACCAUGGACUUCACGGUUUGUGGUGGAAAGCUUUGCGGUGUGGGAUGGGCCCGCGGCCUAUCAGCUUGUUGGUGGGGUAAUGGCCUACCAAGGCGACGACGGGUAGCCGGCCUGAGAGGGUGUUCGGCCACACUGGGACUGAGAUACGGCCCAGACUCCUACGGGAGGCAGCAGUGGGGAAUAUUGCACAAUGGGCGCAAGCCUGAUGCAGCGACGCCGCGUGGGGGAUGACGGCCUUCGGGUUGUAAACCUCUUUCAGUAGGGACGAAGCGCAAGUGACGGUACCUACAGAAGAAGCACCGGCCAACUACGUGCCAGCAGCCGCGGUAAUACGUAGGGUGCGAGCGUUGUCCGGAAUUACUGGGCGUAAAGAGCUCGUAGGUGGUUUGUCGCGUUGUUCGUGAAAUCUCACAACUCAAUUGUGAGCGUGCGAGCGAUACGGGCAGACUGGAGUACUGCAGGGGAGACCGGAAUUCCUAGUGUAGCGGUGGAAUGCGCAGAUAUCAGGAGGAACACCGGUGGCGAAGGCGGGUCUCUGGGCAGUAACUGACGCUGAGGAGCGAAAGCGUGGGGAGCGAACAGGAUUAGAUACCCUGGUAGUCCACGCCGUAAACGGUGGGUACUAGGUGUGGGUUUCCUUCCUUGGGAUCCGUGCCGUAGCUAACGCAUUAAGUACCCCGCCUGGGGAGUACGGCCGCAAGGCUAAAACUCAAAGGAAUUGACGG
rnacentral:rRNA from 1 species